UACGAAGGGGGCUAGCGUUGCUCGGAAUCAUUGGGCGUAAAGCGCACGUAGGCGGCUUGUUAAGUCAGGGGUGAAAUCCUGGAGCUCAACUCCAGAACUGCCUUUGAUACUGAGAAGCUUGAGUCCGGGAGAGGUGAGUGGAACUGCGGGUGUAGAGGUGAAAUUCGUAGAUAUUCGCAAGAACACCAGUGGCGAAGGCGGCUCACUGGCCCGGUACUGACGCUGAGGUGCGAAAGCGUGGGGAGCAAACAGG
rnacentral:rRNA from 1 species